AUCUUUAGUCUGCAAAUACAACGAUUUCUUCUCUAAACUCUUAGGCGCUGUUCGUUUGCUGGUCGCUAGCGUCAGCGACCAGAGUCAGCGACUGCGACUUAAUGUCGCUGAUAGUGUUCGUUUGGAGGUCGCGCGUUCAAUCGCAGCGACUGUUUUUUUUAAAAAAAAAUUUUUGAUCGCACGAUUUUGAUUCCACCGUUAGAAUUUCUAGCGUCCAAAAUUUUUAAUCGCUGAUCGCUAGCGUUUGGUCGCUGCGACCGGUCGCUGAACCUGCGACCAGUAAACAAACAACGUUUGGUUGCUGAAGUUGGUCGCUGACGCUAGCGACCAGCAAACGAACAUGGCCUAUCUCCCCUAUCGUUCAAAGUAUUCCUCUUAACUUUUGCAAUAAAUGUUAUUCGCAUUUAACCCAAUAAAGAUGUCAACUUUUCAGUUUUCCUCACGUCAAACUUAUAAACAGUAGAGGGUUGAGACUUGAGAGCAGGAUGAAUCUCCAAAAUCACUCUCAGUUAAUCUUCUUUAUCAAGCCUAGAAAGAUAUUUUGAGAACGUCUUCCUCCGAUGCUGUUGUUGAUGAGAAGGUAGUAAGGCGGUUACUCUAUUUCUGAGAUGGAAAGUUCAUCAAGAAGGAGACAAUUCAUUAAAAGUUCGUGUCAUAUUAAUGUAUUUGAGACUUUUUGUAUUUAAAAAGAAAAUCAAACUUCAGUGGCUUCUUCUCCAUAUGUGUUUGCUUCUCCUUGCUGUUAGUUAAGAUACUUUGCCUUUUUUUGUGAUAGUGGCUCUAACAGUUGCAGAUGAUGACGAGAAGGAGAAGUUUUUACAAGCUGAGUUUGCUUCUCUAAAUUGUGUUGACAAUGAGCUCUGGUCACAGUGUUCCCAAGUUGAGAAAAGAAUUACUACUUUUCUGUUUCAGAGAAGAGUUUAAACGUCGGAUGAAGGGCUGAUGAGAAAAAAAUUGUCGACUAAAGAGCUCAUCAAAUAAAUCCAGGCUGAUAACCUCCUUUUACUCAGAAAGAUAAGGGUUCUAUGGUGCUCCAACUGUGGAAGUGAGGUUCAGUGACCUUACUCUUUAAGUCGGAAUAUGAAGCAGUUCAUGAAUAGCUUAUCACUCACAGUAUGUCGUUGCUCGGUCCUCCUGGUUGUGGAAGAAGUUACAAUGGUCUUACUUUCAGAGUUUACCGAAGAGAAAAUGUCAGAGUUAAACAAUAUGCAUAUUCUAGAAAAAGUGUAAGUUGUCCAGAAAAAGUGUGAGUUGUCCGGGUGUGAUGACUUCUUAUGUUCUUAAUGUACCGGAGUCAGAUUACAAAAACAGUCUAAAAGAAAUUCUGAAGGAGAUCAGUAGAGGAGAUAACCACCAAGAAUUUGUUUCAAAUCCUGAUAUAGAUGUUUUUUAUGUUUACAUGAAGGAAACUAAUGAAAGAUUGCAUUUCUACUUCAAAUAGAAUCGGGAUAUAUGUACGAAGGUGACUUAUGUUAUUUGGGUUAGUACGUCUAGAAUCCAAAACCAAAACAAAACACAGCUAAAUUUGGAUUUUGUAUGUGUAAAGUGGGCCAAACUUUAAUACUUCAGGCCCAUUCCCAGCCCAGCGAAA